rnacentral:rRNA from 1 species
AUUGAACGCUGGCGGCAGGCCUAACACAUGCAAGUCGAGCGAGCGGCGGACGGGUGAGUAAUGUAUGGGGACUGCCCGAUAGAGGGGGAUAACUACUGGAAACGGUGGCUAAUACCGCAUACUAUCGGAUAACCCAUAUGGGAUUAGCUAGUAGGUGGGGUAAAGGCUCACCUAGGCGACGAUCUCUAGCUGGUCUGAGAGGAUGAUCGGCCACAAUGGACGUGAAACAGGGCCCAGACGCCUACGGAGGCAGCAGUGGGGAAUAUUGCACAAGGGGGGCAAGCCUGAUGCGGCCAUGCGGCGUGUAUGAAGAAGGCCUUAGGGUUGUAAAGUACUUUCAGCGGGGAGGGGUUACCCGCAGAAGAAGCACCGGCUAACUCCGUGCCAGCAGCCGGGGUAAAC